UUGCCGAUGAUGACAUUCUAUACCAUAAUACCAUCUUUCGGGACUGAAUGGCUUGUAAAAAGGCCUUGCUGUCAUUUUACAAUUCUGAGGCAU